rnacentral:rRNA from 1 species
GACGAACGCUGGCGGCGUGCUUAACACAUGCAGGUCGAACGGAAAGGCCCUGCUUUUGUGGGGUGCUCGAGUGGCGAACGGGUGAGUAACACGUGAGUAACCUGCCCUUGACUUUGGGAUAACUUCAGGAAACUGGGGCUAAUACCGGAUAGGAGCUCCUGCUGCAUGGUGGGGGUUGGAAAGUUUCGGCGGUUGGGGAUGGACUCGCGGCUUAUCAGCUUGUUGGUGGGGUAGUGGCUUACCGAGGCUUUGACGGGUAGCCGGCCUGAGAGGGUGACCGGCCACAUUGGGACUGAGAUACGGCCCAGACUCCUACGGGAGGCAGCAGUGGGGAAUAUUGCACAAUGGGCGGAAGCCUGAUGCAGCAACGCCGCGUGCGGGAUGACGGCCUUCGGGUUGUAAACCGCUUUCGCCUGUGACGAAGCGUGAGUGACGGUAAUGGGUAAAGAAGCACCGGCUAACUACGUG